UGAUGAAACACAGCUGACUGAAUCACCAUCAUUGUUUCAGACCUGAAAACUUUCUUUGAAGUCACAGUGCAUACGUUGCAGAUGGAUGAUUACAUUACUGCAGAGACCAUGCAGCUGAUAACAGCUGACAUCAAGCCCAGAUUAAUCUCACUGACGACCAAUAAUGACCAGGAGUUUCUGAUGGUCAGGUAGUUUUUUUCUGAAGCAUAGGAAGGAGUUGCAAAUGGGGACCGGCAGAAUUCCCAUUGUAGCAAGGAAUUGCUCAAGAAUUCCAUGGUUCCACUGGGUGAAUCCGGAGACCGUUGAAGAUUACAGCGAGUUAGGCAACUCCACACAGAGAGAGCAAGCUAAUGUUCCGAGUAUUGAUGACACUUCAUCAGACACUUUAUCAAAUCACACAACAUUAGGUUAUAGUCCAACAGGUUUAUUUGGAAGCACUAACUUUCAGAGUGCUGCUCCUUCAUCAGGUAACUGUGGAGCAGGAUUAUAAACACAGAAUUCAUAGCAAAAGAUGACAGUGUCAUGCAACUGAAAUGAUACAUUGAAUAAACCUGCAUUGUUGUUAAGUC